rnacentral:rRNA from 1 species
CCUACGGGAGGCAGCAGUGGGGAAUAGUGCACAAUGGGGGAAACCCUGAUGCAGCGACGCCGCGUGAGUGAAGAAGUAAUUCGUUAUGUAAAGCUCUAUCAGCAGGGAAGAAAAUGACGGUACCUGAGUAAGAAGACCCGGCUAACUACGUGCCAGCAGCCGUGGUCAUACGUCGGGGGCAAGCUUUAUCCGGAUUUACUGGGUGGAAAGGGAGCGUAGACGGCAGGACAGGUCUGGAUUGAAAGGCCGGGGCUCAACCCCCGGACUGCUUUGGAAACUGUACGGCUGGAGUGCAGGAGAUGUAAGUGGAAUUCCUAGUGUCGCGGUGAAAUGCGUAGAUAUUAGGAGGAACACCAGUGGCGACGGCGGCUUUCUGGACUGUAACUGACGUUGCGGCUCGAAAGCGUGGGGAGCAAACAGGAUUAGAUACCCUUGUAGUC